UACAUCAAACGUAAUUCAAAAUUUGACGUAAAAACUUAUCACGUAACCUAAAAUCAAACGUAAUAUUAUGUUUGAAUCGACGCGGAUUGACCAAAUUCACUUAAGCAGAAGUUUGAAUCUUAUAAAAUGUAACAAUAAAUCAUUUUUAAAUGAACAUUACAUCAAAUAUGAUGCACAUGAUUGGAGCGUCGUUUGUCGUGUAAUAUUCUGUGCGAUGAUUUAAUUUUACUUCAAAUAUAACCCGAUUGUACGCUGAUUUGGUGCCUUUCACUUCACAGUGCAGCAAACGUCAGCCAUGAUGGAUUCCGAUUAGGAAAGUUGACGCGGAGAAGUUGUCCCGAUAAAAAUUAGUUUUUCUCAGCUUUCGCCACUUUUUGAGCUAAAAAUCUCAAUAAAAUCGAUUGCCAAGCCAGAAACAUCUCCAUCCCUCUUUCGGGCAAACUCCCUGAAUCCGAUCCGUGAUCCUGUUGGCAAUGGAUGACUGCCGGUGGAUGGGUUCGAGCGUUGGCUUUGCGCCAGGUACUGACCACGGUUGAUAGUGCCGCGGAGGUAAUCAGUUGGUUCAGUCGGUGGCAUUUCGUGAUGGAGAUCGCUUUCGGUACCAACAGUGUUGUUCCGGUGGAGCUGGUUCGUUUGCAAGGCGAUGUCGGUCCGACGGAGCCGGAUGUGGUCGUCGUCCCAGGUGGCAAGAUGAGGAGUUCCGUGACACGAGAAAAGGAAGGCCUCAAACAAAUGGACCAGCUCACGUCAUAUUUUGAAACGAUCGAUUGAAGCAGGUUGGUCGUCGGUUGGGGCCUCGGCUGCAGCUAGCGGAGGAACGCUUGCGACGACGUGGGAACGAAAAUGGAUUGAUAGCAGAGCUGGAGGGUUUGCGGCUAGUUAAGCUACGUGCUGAACGCGAUGAAGGUUAUCUGUUUAGUGGCCUGGCCACGUUGGGCAUUCCGGUGGUGGAUGAUAGAGGAAAAUGUAUUUAUUCGAUUUUAAUCAUAAAGUGUUAAUAAAAAUAAGAUUAAUUAAUAUAAAUACGGUGUUUUUUUUUCUUUCCAAUAAAUUUAAUCCAAAAAUCCAAUAAAUCGCAAUUCCAAUAGGAAUGGUUUCCUAUGAAUUGCGUUUGAUGUAAUUUUACACGACCAUAUCGGUUGACGGUAAAGGUCGGGUAAUUUUCAAAUCAGAUGUAAUUUUAUGUCUUAUUUGACGCUCCAGUUAUGUGCAUCAAAUAGACAGAAUAUUACACGAUUUUUUCGAAGUGUGUAUAAACGAUCGGGAUUUUUUCAUACAUUUCGAAUGUAAUAACAAUAUUUUUUGAAAAUACUCAAAAUUUUCACAAAACUACGUAUUUUUGUAAAACUUUUCAAAAUUUCAGUUUUUACAUUAUGGGUAUCAAAUAAUCAAUUCUUUUUUUUCAAAAAUACGUAGUUUUGUGAAAUUUUUUAGUAUUUUAAUUUUUUUAAUAACUUUCGAAAUGUAUGAAAAAAUCCCGAUCGUUUGAUACCCACAUUGUAAAAACGGAAAUUUCGAGUAAUUUUUUUUCGAAAAUACGUAGUUUUGUGAAAAUUUGGAGUAUUUUCAAAAAAAUUGUUAUUACAUUUGAAAUGUAUGAAAAAAAUCCCGAUCGUUUGAUACCCAUAUUGUAAAAAUUGAAAUUUUGAGUAUUUUUUCGAAAAGACGUAGUUUUGUGAAAAUUUGGAGUAUUUUCUAAAAAUGAUGUUAUUACAUCCAAAAUGUAUGAAAAAACCUGAUCAUUUGAUACCCUUGCAAUAACAAUAUAUUUUUGGAUGCUGUAGAGAAAAAAAAAAGCAUUUUGAAAUACAGGAAAAAUACGUAUUUUUGUGAAAAUUUUCAUGAAAUUAUAAUUUUAAUGGAUAGCUGACAUCAUCCCGAUUCCAAAAUACUAUAAUUUUUUGAUGUUUGCAUGAUUUUUCGUACGAUUAAAGCCAAUAUCUCCCAUAUAGCCAAAAUCCCAUAAGCUCUGUGCCUCGGUUAUGCACGCCUCGGUUUUGCAUCCCCCAUAUGCGGUGCUCAACCGAGGCAUGAGUGUAUAUUAGGGUGGGUCAUUUUUUUCGAAAGUGCUCGGAUCCGGCUGAAAUAAGGUCCAUCUUGUAGAGGGUACCCAUAGGGACUCUCAUACCAAAUUUGAGCUCAUUUGGUUGAAAACUGGCUUGUCGCUCGGGGGUUAAAGUUUACAUGGAAAUUACUAUGGGAAAUGAGUGAUUUUACUUCAAACGCUCCUACAAGCUAAGCGACAAACUUUAGCCCACACUUACACUAGGUAGCCGUGUCGGGGGUGGUCCAAGGAACAUUUUUCUCUAAGGGUUCAUGGUCAUCCGUUCAACCCUGAGCUUGCGCAAAGCCGAAACAUCCGGCGACGCCGGAAUUCUUCAAAAUCUCAGUUUUAACGGUCAACGCAUGCUACAAACUAUGACAGAAGCAUCAUUUGAAUGAAUGGAAAACGCGACGCCAAACGUCAACUCACUGUUUGGAAGCAAAAAAAAGGUUCAUAAUUGUGGUUUUUACUUUUUGUAUUAAAUAACAAAUUAUUCAUAUUUUUUUCAUGCUUAUUUCUAGAACGAAUUAUUCGAAUUAAGGUGUGAAACAUAAUUAAAUAAAAAAAACCCCUUUAUGUGGUAGGACAUCGUGGACGGAAACAGUUAAACGUCACACAUGGCCAGCGGAAUCGACGGCGAGGGGUUCACCGGAGUAGUCAUCGGGAUGGCAGGACAUGUAGAGAUAGUUACGGUUGGAAUUCGUGGAGGGAAGUGAUUGCUCGACGCACAGGGCCAGCAGAAUAGCCGACUUGGGGUUCGUCUGGCAAGUCGAGCGGCAUCGUCGGUGAGAUGUUCACCCGAAGAGCCAUCGGAAUGGACAGGACAUGGUUUAAUUGACCUUAUUGAAACGGUAGCAUCGGCUUAUCAGGAUAAUAUUUCUAUUUACCAAUUUUCCUCCGGUUCCCAGGUGUUUUCGGAAUCCUCGCAACCCUUUCACUUGAUCUGAAACUGGACCUUUUAGCGCCGAGUUCUCUUUGCAACGACACGCUCACCCACGGACUCGGGUUCGGAGGCCAUGUUUAUUUUCAAAUUGCCGAUUGAAAACCAUUUUAUUUUUCAUGAAAAAAAAAAAACACUUUGUUGGAAAAGCGCAAACCCUCACAUUAGCUUCUAAACAGUGAGUUGACGUUUGGCGUCGCUUUUUCCAUUCAUUCAAACGAUGCUUCUGUCAUAGUUUGUAGCAUGCGUUGACCGUUAAAACUGAGAUUUUGAAGAAUUCCGGCGUCGCCGGAUGUUUCGGCUUUGCGCAAGCUCAGGGUUGAACGGAUGACCAUGGACCCUUAGAGAAAAAUGUUCCUUGGACCACCCCCGAUACGGCUACCUAGUGUAAGUGUGGGCUAAAGUUUGUCGCUUAGCUUGUAGGAGCGUUUGAAGUAAAAUCACUCAUUUCCCAUAGUAAUUUCCAUGUAAACUUUAACCCCCGAGCGACAAGCCAGUUUUCAACCAAAUGAGCUCAAAUUUGGUAUGAGAGUCCCUAUGGGUACCCUCUACAAGAUGGACCUUAUUUCAGCCGGAUCCGAGCACUUUCGAAAAAAAAUGACCCACCCUAGUGUAUAUCUAAUAUUUUUUUCUAACGUUUUUUUUUUCCUUUUUUACGGUUCUCAAGUGAAUUAGAAUUAGAAUUCAAAUAUUGAAGCUUUGGUUUCAAUAUAAAUGAUGGCGAAAACAUCAAAUUAAACACCAAAUUAACCACCCACCCUCAA